rnacentral:rRNA from 1 species
AUGAAGACGGACGACCUACAUGGAUGGAGAUCAUGGGUGUGUGCUGGACGUGUGGGCGCGGCACGACUACCACUUGUUUUCGCAGACAAAGGUGGGGUUGUCAUUCUAACCGUUCUUGAGGUGGGCGCACCUGGCUGCCAUGUCAUCGACCGGUUUGAGGCCACCGUUGCUUUAGUUGACGUACUGGAGGUCAUGGACGGAGCGGCUCUUUUUGACAUUCUUGAGGACGCAGGAGGAGCCACCGUCGCAGACGCCGCUGAAAUUCUUGAGGUCACGUAUGGAUUUGCUGUUGUUGACGUUCUUGAGGUUGCAGGCGGAUUUGUCGUUGUUGACGUUCUUAAGGUUGCAUACGAAUCUGCCGCAGUUGAAGUCCUUGAGGCUGUGUACAGAUUUGACGUUGUUGAAGAUCUUGAGGGCGCAUAUGGAUUUGCCGUUGUUGACGUUCUUGAGGUAGCGGGUUGA